rnacentral:tRNA from 1 species
GUCCAGCGAUCUAGAGUAAGGAGCGGUGGUAGCUCUCUCGAUUCUCACGCAAGAGAGGCGGGUUCGAAUCCCGGCGCUGACA